rnacentral:ncRNA from 2 species
CCAAUUCAGGAUAAUUCGAAGAAUAAAAAAUAUUAGAGUGUACACCGGUCAAACAGUAAUGCAGGUGUUCUAAGGCAAGCUCAGGGAGGACAGAAACCUCGCAUGGGGCAUUAGGGAAAAAGUUCACUUGAUCUUGAUUUUCAGUAUGAAUACAGACCUUGAAAGCAGGGCCUCAUGAUCCUUCUGACCUUUUGGGUUUCAAGCAGAUGUCAGAAAAGUGACUACAGGAAUAGCUGGCAUGUGGUGGCCAAGCAUUCAUAGCAACAUCACUUUGUGAAAAAAUGAAAUU